GCUUUCAAAGGAUAACAGUAAUCCAAUGGUCUUAGGAGCCAUCCAUCUUGGUGCAAAUCCAAGUGAAAGCA
rnacentral:tRNA from 1 species